AAUAGCACCAUCUGCUGGCACAAAAAAUACAUAACAAUAAACUGCAAAACCCCAAUCUGGCUCCUACAAAGUGUAUGUGACAAGAUGAUUAACGUUUGCUUUUGUUAAAUCAGGGCUUCCCCAGCCAGGACUUCGGCUCAGACUGUGGCAUAUUCAUGUUGAUGGUAGGUCAUAACGAGCUGUAAUGCACAAAUAUUGUAUCUAGAAUAACUUUCCAACAUGGACUUUUUUAAAGUUAUCUCACAUGUCUCAUAAUUUUUUUUUUAAGUCUGCCAUGUACAUCGUUAUGGAGUCACAGUUUGACUACUCAGUUGUAAGUACUUUUCAACACGCAGUGUCAUCCUCAAGAUUGUAUUUUGUAUUGUGCACUAAAAUGAAAUACAAACAACAAUUUCAGCAUGACAUGCCUGUUUGGCGGCGAUGGUGGUGCCUGUUGCUCCUGGAGAACAAUUCUUUGAACAGGUAGACAGUUUAAGUAAACUAGAUGUCCUAAUUAACUGGAAGACAAUCAAUAUAUUGUACUUAAAGAUAUAUUGUCAUUACAGUUGUGGGAAAAUCUUCGCCCACUGGACCAAAGAAUGUCAAGAGCUCAUUGCUGGAAAGCAUACUCCGGUCUUCAGUCUAAAGAGGAAGGCAGAGCAGCAGGACAUAGAGGUUAGAAAAUUGCCUUGUAAAAACAGUAUUAUCUCAGUGGGAGUCCUUCAAAAUGCACACAGUUGUAUGGAUCAACAUUGUCUCGAUGUAUUUGGUAAUUGAUGUUACUUUUCAAAUUGCCUUGUCAAGGAAACCAUGACGCAGACGGCAUCGGAUGUCCAAAGAAUGUGCAUGGCAGAUUCAAUGCAAUUCUGUGUCUACCAGACAUCGAACAACACAGGAGAGAGGUGUGUUGCAGACUCAAUUUAAUAAAUGCAAUUAUCGGGGCCUAUUCAGUGAUUUUCCAUGAAGUGACCACUUUUACAUAUAGUUUAAAUGCACGAAUCAUGCAGGAAAAUUAUUUAUACAUUCAAAUGUGCUGCAGAGGUAUAAUCAAUUGGACAGCGUGUUUGUUUAAUAUUAUGUUUGUCUCUCAUUUGAUCAGAUUGCUUUACCCUGAGGUAAACGUCAUAAAAUGGGUCCAGUGCAAGACGUGCAGGGGCUGGCUGCAUCAGGAUUGUGCUGGGAUUGAAAUGGAGCCGUUUGACUGCGGGUGCGAGGACUCCAUUGAGCAUCCUCGG